rnacentral:rRNA from 1 species
AACGAACGCUGGCGGCGUGCCUAACACAUGCAAGUCGUGCGAGAAAGUUCCUUCGGGAGCGAGUAAAGCGGCGCACGGGUGAGUAACACGUAGGUAACCUGCCCCCCAGUCUGGAACAACUAGAGGAAACUCUAGCUAAUGCCGGAUGAGACCACGAUCCCUUCGGGGGUUGCGGCCAAAGAUGGCCUCUACUUGUAAGCUAUCGCUGAGGGAUGGGCCUGCGGGCCAUUAGCUUGUUGGUGAGGUAACGGCUCACCAAGGCUGUGAUGGCUAGCUGGUCUGAGAGGAUGACCAGCCACACUGGGACUGAGACACGGCCCAGACUCCUACGGGAGGCAGCAGUGGGGAAUAUUGCGCAAUGGGCGAAAGCCUGACGCAGCGACGCCGCGUGGGUGAUGAAGGCCUUC